rnacentral:rRNA from 1 species
GGCGACCGGCGCACGGGUGAGUAACACGUAUCCAACCUACCCUUUACUCGGGGAUAGCCUUUCGAAAGAAAGAUUAAUACCCGAUAGCAUAAUGAUUCCGCAUGGUUUCAUUAUUAAAGGAUUCCGGUAAAGGAUGGGGAUGCGUUCCAUUAGGUUGUUGGUGGGGUAACGGCCCACCAAGCCUUCGAUGGAUAGGGGUUCUGAGAGGAAGGUCCCCCACAUUGGAACUGAGACACGGUCCAAACUCCUACGGGAGGCAGCAUG